GCUAUCAUACCAGCACUAAUGCACCGGAUCCCAUCAGAACUCCGAAAUUAAGCGUGCUUGGGCGAGAGCAGUACUAGGAUGGGUGACCCCCUGGGAAGUCAUUGUGUUGCACCU
rnacentral:rRNA from 1 species